rnacentral:rRNA from 1 species
CCCUUAGAUGUUCGGGGCCGCACGCGCGCUACACUGAAGGACUCAGCGUGUCUCUCCCCCUAUCCCGAAAGGGAUGGGCAACCCGUUGAACCUCCUUCGUGCUAGGGUUUGGGGUUUGCAAUUAUCCCCCAUGAACGAGGAAUUCCCAGUAAGCGCGAGUCAUCAGCUCGCGUUGAUUACGUCCCUGCCCUUUGUACACACCGCCCGUCGCUACUACCGAUUGGAUGGUUUAGUGAGACCCUCGGAUCGGUCCCGACUCGGGGUGGGCUUCUGCCCCGGUCGUGGUUUCGCCGAGAAGACGGUCAAACUUGACUAUCUAGAGGAAGUAAAAGUCGUAACA